rnacentral:rRNA from 1 species
UAGGGAAUCUUCCGCAAUGGACGCAAGUCUGACGGAGCAACGCCGCGUGAGUGAAGAAGGAUUUCGGUUCGUAAAACUCUGUUGUUAGAGAAGAACAGCGCAUAGAGUAACUGUUAUGCGUGUGACGGUAUCUAACCAGAAAGCCACGGCUAACUACGUGCCAGCAGCCGCGGUAAUACGUAGGUGGCAAGCGUUGUCCGGAUUUAUUGGGCGUAAAGCGAGCGCAGGCGGUCAAUUAAGUCUGAUGUGAAAGCCCCCGGCUCAACUGGGGAGGGUCAUUGGAAACUGGUUGACUUGAGUGCAGAAGAGGAGAGUGGAAUUCCAUGUGUAGCGGUGAAAUGCGUAGAUAUAUGGAGGAACACCAGUGGCGAAGGCGACUCUCUGGUCUGUAACUGACGCUGAGGCUCGAAAGCGUGGGUAGCAAACAGG